rnacentral:rRNA from 1 species
GAUGAACGCUGGCGGCGUGCCUAAUACAUGCAAGUCGAGCGAACAGACGAGGAGCUUGCUCCUCUGACGUUAGCGGCGGACGGGUGAGUAACACGUGGAUAACCUACCUAUAAGACGGGGAUAACUUCGGGAAACCGGAUCUAAUACCGUAUAAUAUAUUGAACCGCAUGGUUGAAUAGUGAAAGACGGUUUUGCUGCCACUUAUAGAUGGAUCCGCGCCGCAUGAGCUAGUUGGUAAGGUAACGGCUUACCAAGGCAACGAUGCGUAGCCGACCUGAGAGGGUGAUCGGCCACACUGGAACUGAGACACGGUCCAGACUCCUAAGGGAGGCAGCAGUAGGGAAUCUUACGCAAUGGGCGAAAGCCUGACGGAGCAACGCCGCGUGAGUGAUGAAGGUCUUCGGAUCGUAAAACUCUGUUAUUAGGGAAGAACAAAUGUGUAAGUAACUAUGCACGUCUUGACGGUAACUAAUCAGAAAGCCACGGCUAACUACGUG